AACUCAGUAGCUCUGAAAAAAAGUGUUUUUGACAAAAGAAAGUUGAGAAGGAGAUUUUGGCUAUGAGCGGGUUCUUUCUCUUUGGGGGUUGGAAUUUAAAUUUCAAACACAAGAUUUGAAUGAACAUUCCAAAUCAGAACUGAGUGAAUAAAUUUAAACUUAGGGUUUUAUAAUUUAAAUCUUCCAAGUUCUAUGCUUGAUUUUCCGUCUCUCUCUCUCUCUGCUUCUUUCUUUCUACUUCGGCUCUCUCUCUCUAAAAGAAAAAAGAACAAGUCACCGGUGAUGGAAACAGUAACUGGCAUAGAAGAUAUAGAAUGGGCGUGCUCAGUGUUGCGGGUUAGGAGAGCGUAAAAACAAGACGAUGACAGAGUCUCCGAAUCUGUUUUCGGCAAGUAGUAAAGAUGACAAACAAUAAAUUAGAGGUGGCAGUGGCUGUUGAUGCAGCUGGAAGGAGAAAGAAUAGUGGCACGGUGACUGGUGCUACUACCGUAAGAGAAGAAGGAACAGCUGGCAACAAGUUGAUGACUUCAGUCAAAAGAAUGUAGAGCUUCGGUCGUCGGUGGUGCAGCAGAGGUAAUUUUUCUUCUUUAAAAACAGAUAGUUAUUUUCUUUUUAAAAAAAAGUUACAGAAAAUGCCAUUAGAGUUCGAGAUGCAAUCAGAGGAAACACCGAAGCUCCCGUACAAUGUUUCGAAAUUCCAUGAGGUAAGUCAGAAAAAGCAAGAAGCCCCGAAUAAGGCCAAUCAAGUGGCACCCUCAGUUGAAUUGGAUAGGUGGACUGUCAAGGUUUUGGGGCUUGAUUCAAAGGUGCACUGUCUUCAGUUUCAUUAUACGGUAUCCCGAUGAUAAGGAUGGUGAGGUUGCUGGCAGCACUGCUGGAGGCGGUGCUCCUGCUGCAGUUAUGGCGGUUAAGAAUAGUAUGGCCAUGGGAUGAUAAAGUCAGUUCCAUAUGAACAUAAAA